rnacentral:rRNA from 1 species
UACAGAGGUCUCAAGCGUUGUCCGGAAUUAUUGGGCGUAAAGAGCUCGUAGGCGGUCUGUCGCGUCGGCUGUGAAAACUCGGGGCUCAACCCCGAGCCUGCAGUCGAUACGGGCAGACUAGAGUGCUGUAGGGGAGACUGGAAUUCCUGGUGUAGCGGUGAAAUGCGCAGAUAUCAGGAGGAACACCGGUGGCGAAGGCAGCUCUCUGGGACGGUACUGACGCUGAGACGCGAAAGCGUGGGGAGCGAACAGG